UAAGAGCAUCGUAAUAGCAUCACGUACUAUUGGGCAAAGCAAUGAACAUCCACUCUCCUCUCUCCUCUCUAUUCUUUCCUGCUGCCUCUAGCAACUACUUUCCAGACGUGGCAGACUCGCUUGGCCGCGUCUGACGAGUGUUAGUAUUUCUUUCUUGUUAGCAGAGAGGAUGGUCAAAGUUCAUGGGGAAGUGUGACUGUAAUGGUCAUAGCACGUUUACUAGUAUAGGUAAACUAGUUGCAGUACAAGUGAAUAAGGAUAUGAAUACUUGUUUGUUGCUGUGGUAAUGAGUUGUUGUUGUUGUUGUUGUUGUUGUUGUUGUUAUCAUUGUUGUUGUUGUUGUUGAUGUUGCUGUUGUGGUGGUGGUAGUGGUGGUGGUGGUAGUGGUGGUGAUAGUAAUAGUACUAUUGGUGUGAGUAUGGUGCUUAAGAUAACAUUACUAAAAGACACAUUUACACUUAAUAUACUUCAGUAGUAGUAGUAGUAGUAGUAGUAGUAGUAGUAGUAGUAGUAGUAGUAGUAGUAGUAGUAGUAGUAGUAGCAGCAGCAGCAAUAGCAGCAGUAGCGUCCGUAUACUGCUUAAGAUAACAUCACUAAACACACAUCAACACACAAUGCACCUCCUACUUUUCGUUCCUCCAAAAUCUCUCAUGCGUCUCUUCCUCCACGCAACUCUCCUGCCAGCUCUGUACACCUCCUUAUCCAGCAUUUCUUCCUUUCCAUUCAAGCUUCCGAGUUGAAUGUUUUACUGACAGGGCAUCGACAGGACCAGGUGGCAUGCUUCUCCUUGCAUUCUUAUCCUUUGUUAGUUGAAUUUUUAGAGGAUCACAUAAACAUUGAUUAUAGUGGCAGUGUGAACAGGCAUUCUUUUAUUUCAAUUUUCAUUUAUUUAUUAGUGGCAUCGUUAACAGGUUUAUAUUAUCUUUCACGUGUAUUUCUUAUGUAUUCUUUUCUUUAGACGAUCUCCCUAACAUAAAACAACAACAAUAGCAACAACAACAACAGCAACAACAACAACAACAAAAAAAACAAUAAUAACAACAGCCCUGAAUGCUACAAAUGAAUUGUUUGACUCGAUGGUUUGAAAUUUUUUUUUAUUUAAUUUAUUUUUCUACUAUUGUAGCUGAAUAAUUAAUCCUUUCUUUUAUCUAUUUUGUUAAUCCCUAGACGGCCUCCCUGACUCAUAAAAAAAUAAUAAUAGAAAAUAAAUAUAAAAACUGAGAGCCACAGAUUCAGUUAUUGGCUCAUUGCUUCGAAACCAACACCAUUCAAAGCCAACACGCUUCAUCUACUCCAUUCAUGACUCGACACCUCUCUGAUGCAAUCUAAAGUUGGUACUCUAUGACCGGCACACGUUUGUGUCGCAACUAGUACUGGAGAGAGAGAGAGAGAGAGAGAGAGAGAGAGAGAGAGGAAAAACAAAGAUCGAAAAAAGAAACGAAAUGUCCCGGAACACGUUUUAAAAGGUUCGAAGCUCCAGUUUACCUCAUUUCCUGUUCCACUGUACCAAUCGAACCAGUGGUCAGAUUCUUGUCUUGCCCUCCCCUUCCUCCCUCUCUCUCAUCUCACUCUCUCUUUUCCUCUCUCUCUAGUGUAGGUUAGCUUGGUGAACGAACGUAAGAAAAAACUUGGAAUGACUCGUAUCGCGCAGCGGAGGAGGUAAUUAACAGUGAAAGCAAGAAAACAAUAACAAUAACUCUUCAAGAAUAACAACAACAACAACAACAAGAGGAGAAGGAGCAAAAGUGCUUCUCACAGGUGGCGUGACCCUGGAGUGACGGCGAGGCGUGACACCUGUGGCGCUAUUACGGGACGCGCCGCUCACGACAGCCUGACUCCUGCUGCCUGGGGGUGUUGGUGGUGGUGGUGGUGGUCUUGAAAUGGAUCUAGGACGUUUCUCCUCGUGGGUGUCUGCUUGGUGAGCGCUGGUUCAGGUCAGGCCACUCACCGCUGUGUAAGUCUCCUGGGAAGCCGUGCAGUCUUCAGUCCUAACGGGAAGGGUCUGCAUGACUGCCCUGCGUGACUGACCUCCCCCUUGCCGUGUGUCCUCCAAGGAGCUUUUCGGCGAUGCCCAAGUGAAGCUCUAAGAUAAUAGAGAUGUGAUGGCUUGCUUUGCUGCUUUCACCAUUAAGUCUGUAGGAACCUUGGCCUCUCCUUGGAAAAAGUUAAUCGGAAUAUAUA